rnacentral:rRNA from 1 species
UAGGGAAUCUUCCGCAAUGGGCGAAAGCCUGACGGAGCAACGCCGCGUGAGUGAUGAAGGUCUUCGGAUCGUAAAACUCUGUUAUUAGGGAAGAACAAAUGUGUAAGUAACUAUGCACGUCUUGACGGUACCUAAUCAGAAAGCCACGGCUAACUACGUGCCAGCAGCCGCGGUAAUACGUAGGUGGCAAGCGUUAUCCGGAAUUAUUGGGCGUAAAGCGGGCGUAGGCGGUUUUUUAAGUCUGAUGUGAAAGCCAACGGCUCAACCGUGGAGGGGCAUUGGAAACUGGAAAACUUGAGUGCAGAAGAGGAAAGUGGAAUUCCAUGUGUAGCGGUGAAAUGCGCAGAGAUAUGGAGGAACACCAGUGGCGAAGGCGACUUUCUGGUCUGUAACUGACGCUGAUGUGCGAAAGCGUGGGGAUCAAACAGG